GUAAAUUCCUCGCAAAACCUGGGCCUAAAAUAUCUGGAGGAGGAGGACGGAGCGCCUUGGGCGAGGGAGAUGAGAUCUUCAGCUGCGGGAGAGAGGGAGGCAGCUCCGGGCUCCUCCAGCUGCCGGCCCCCGGGAAUUCGCCGGGAAUAAAUCUCACCCAGCCAACUCGGUGGUUGGGGUUGGGAUGAGGAGCCGGGGGCACCCGGGGCGGUGGCAUGGGAGCGAGCUGAGGAAGGACAAUAAUGAAAUAAUAAAUGCCGAGAGGGAGGUGCUAGGCGGGAGCUGUGUGAGAACCAGUUUGCGAGGUCCAGAUUGGCAGCAGAUCCUGAACCAGGAGGAGCCGAGCAUCCAUACGGCCCCUGCCGAGAUCAGACGAGACGACAGCGGCUUGGUUUGGGGGAAGAAAUUGGAGGCGGGGGAAGCUUUUUUGCUGAAAUGAAAUUUGAACCCCGAAGUGGGAGGGAAGUGGAGGUGGGGGGCACGGCUCUCUCCACAUGGUUAUUACUGCUGUUUUCCACCCAGCUGAAAGGAGAAUGUAGCUUAAUAUGGACCCGCGGGGAGGAGAAGCGAUCGGGAGCAGGGAUUUGUCAGGAGGGAGCUGGGAAGCAGCGAGCAGUGUAGAGGUGAGAGCGGCCGGCGGUGUGCCCGAGGUGAUGGCUGUCUGGCCGUGGGCGCGG
rnacentral:lncRNA from 1 species